UGGAGGCUGGUCAUCAGCCAGGAAGCAAACACACAACUAACUUACUAGCUAAACGAACAAACAAAUACUUACCCUUGGCCGCCGAACCGAGCAGACUCAUGAGAGACACAACAACGGGGACCAGAAGCCAAGAGGAGCCCAUUAUUGCCAAAACAAAAUGUUUGUCCUGAAGGCUUGGAGUCAGUCUACGGUAACGAGUCGGAGCAACAAGCCGACCUCGAAGGCUUACUGAGCGGAUUAAAAACUCGGGAGCUUGCUUGUGUGGGGAAAAAAGCUCUAACAAACGCUGCGGUGUCUCCUCUCUUCUGAGCGUGAACAGCGCCGGACUGACCGUUUUAUUGACGCUUCUUGAGCCUGCCGUGGCGAGACGAGGCAGCAGCUCUGCUUCAGAGGCAAACAGCUCCUUGUAGAGAGGCGGGAAGAGAGUGUGAGCGAUGAGCGGGUAGCGCUGACUGAACCAGCGCAACUUCUCCAUGUGCAGACUGCACAGUGAACGCAACACAGACAUCCUCUGGCCGUGCAGGUGUACCUAAUAAAGUGGCGUACCUGCAUUGAUCAGGACCAGAGCGCUGAAGAGAGCCACCUGCUGCUCGGUGAGCUUCAAAGCGCAGACGCUGUGAGCAAAGUCGAAAACGGCGGCAAUCAAAUCGGCGCACGCUGCAAGAGAAGACGUGUAUUUUAUCAUUGAGGUGGAAGAACGUUCUAAGAGCACGUUUGAGCAGACGUGACCUCACCCAAAGACUUGAAGACUUCGGUUCCAGCAAAUUUGCCAUCAAAAAAGACGGUGUUGUUCUCUGUGUUGAAGAAGCGACUCAUCCUCACCAGAACGACCUCCAUAGAACCUGAAGAAACAGCAGAUAGACUGUGAUUCAACCUUUUUGGACGACGAAUGAGUGAGUCCAUGCAAGGUGACCUCACCGGUCUUCAGAAGGGCGAUCUGGUCGUUCUGGCUGAGCAGACGGAAACCAGGGAUGUGUUUGGCAAACUCCACCACAAACUGCACGGCAUCCGUCAGCCGAACCGCACAGUGUUGCCACAUCUCAUCCACCGACUGAGGGAAGAAGAAUUCUCUUUAUCAAAAUGAUUGAAUCUGACCAACACAGAAAAUUAGAAACUACACAUUCCACCACAAAUGCUACAAUUGUACAUUUUGUUGCUUUUUUGCUAUUAAAAUUUUUUGGGUGUUUUCUUGAUUGUCUUUUGUUUGUUUGUUGGUUACUUUGAUACAAUAUACCUGUGGUUUUAAAAUGUUUUUCACCAAGUACCACCUCAGAAAAAACGUGACUAUCCAAGCACAACCAUA